UACGUAGGGUGCAAGCGUUAUCCGGAAUUAUUGGGCGUAAAGAGCUCGUAGGCGGUUUGUCGCGUCUGCUGUGAAAACUGGGGGCUCAACCCCCAGCCUGCAGUGGGUACGGGCAGACUAGAGUGCGGUAGGGGAGAUUGGAAUUCCUGGUGUAGCGGUGGAAUGCGCAGAUAUCAGGAGGAACACCGAUGGCGAAGGCAGAUCUCUGGGCCGUAACUGACGCUGAGGAGCGAAAGCAUGGGGAGCAAACGGG
rnacentral:rRNA from 1 species